rnacentral:rRNA from 1 species
GACGAACGCUGGCGGCGUGCCUAAUACAUGCAAGUUGAGCGCUGAAGGUUGGUACUUGUACCAACUGGAUGAGCAGCGAACGGGUGAGUAACGCGUGGGGAAUCUGCCUUUGAGCGGGGGACAACAUUUGGAAACGAAUGCUAAUACCGCAUAAAAACUUUAAACACAAGUUUUAAGUUUGAAAGAUGCAAUUGCAUCACUCAAAGAUGAUCCCGCGUUGUAUUAGCUAGUUGGUGAGGUAAAGGCUCACCAAGGCGAUGAUACAUAGCCGACCUGAGAGGGUGAUCGGCCACAUUGGGACUGAGACACGGCCCAAACUCCUACGGGAGGGAGCAGUAGGGAAUCUUCGGCAAUGGAGGAAAGUCUGACCGAGCAACGCCGCGUGAGUGAAGAAGGUUUUCGGAUCGUAAAACUCUGUUGGUAGAGAAGAACGUUGGUGGGAGUGGAAAGCUCAUCAAGUGACGGUAACUACCCAGAAAGGGACGGCUAACUACGUG